AUUGAACGCUGGCGGCAGGCCUAACACAUGCAAGUCGAGCGAGCGGCGGACGGGUGAGUAAUGUAUGGGGACUGCCCGAUAGAGGGGGAUAACUACUGGAAACGGUAGCUAAUACCGCAUACUAUCGGCUAACCCAAAUGGGAUUAGCUAGGAGGUGAGGUAAUGGCUCACCUAGGCAACGAUCCCUAGCUGGUCUGAGAGGAGGAUCAGCCACACUGGGACUGAGACACGGCCCAGACUCCGACGGAGGCAGCAGUAGGGAAUAUUGCACAAUGGGCGAAAGCCUGAUGCAGCAAUGCCGCGGGAAUGAAGAAGGCCCUAGGGUUGUAAAGCACUGUCAGUCGGGAGGCGUUACCGAAAGAAGAAGCCCCGGCUAACUCCGUGCCAGCAGCCGCGGUAAUAC
rnacentral:rRNA from 1 species